GAUCCUGGCUCAGGAUGAACGCUGGCGGCAGGUUUGACACAUGCAAGUUGAGCGACAAGCAGGUGCUUGCACCUGUGGAGGAGCAGCAAACGGCUGAGUAACACGUAGGAACCUACCCUCAGGACCGGGAUAACAAGCCGAAAGGCCUGCUAAUACCGGAUAUAUUCUUCGGAAGGAAAUGGUCCGCCGCCUGAGGAGGGGCCUGCGGCGCAUUAGUUAGAUGGUGAGGUAAUGGCUCACCAUGGCUGUGAUGCGUAGCUGGUCUGAGAGGACGAUCAGCCAGACUGGGACUGAGACACGGCCCAGACUCCUACGGGAGGCAGCAGUUCAGAAUCUUGCCCAAUGGACGAAAGUCUGAGGCAGCCAUGCCGCGUGUGUGAAGAAGGCCCUCGGGUCGUAAAGCACUGUCAGGAGGGACGAUAGUGACGGUACCUCCUAAGGAAGCCACGGCUAGUUACGUGCCAGCAGCCGCGGUAAUACGUAAGUGGCGAGCGUUAUCCGGAUUUACUGGGCAUAAAGCGUUCGUAGGCGGCGUAGUAAGUUGGAUUUGAAAGACCGGGGCUCAACUCCAGAACCGGAUCCAAAACUACUAUGCUAGAGCGUAUCAGAGGGCAGUGGAAUUCCCGGUGUAACGGUAAUAUGCGUAGAUAUCGGGAGGACCCCAGUGGCGAAGGCGACUGCCUGGUGUACUGCUGACGCUGAGGAAACGAAAGCUAGGGGAGCGAACGGGAUUAGAUCCCCCGUAGUUCCUAGCCGUAAAACGUUGGGCACUAGGUGUCGGGAGCUUCGACCCUCUCGGUGCCGCCGCUAAACGCAUUAAGUGCCCCGCCUGGGAAGUACGGCCGCAAGGUUAAAACUCAAAGGAAUUGACGGGUCCCCGCACAAGCAGUGGAGCAUGUGGUUUAAUUCGAUGCUACGCGAAGAACCUUACACCGGACUUGACAUCCCCAUGGAAAGUCCUGGUUAACCGCCGGGCCCCCUUCCGGGCCGUGGAUGACAACAGGUGCCACAUGGCUGUCGUCAGCUCGUGCCGUGAGGUGUUGGAUUAAGUUCCGCAACGAGCGCAACCCUCGUCGUUAGUAGCCAUCAUUAAGUUGGGCACUCUAGCGAGACUGCCAUCGCCAAGAUGGAGGAAGGUGGGGAUGACGUCAAGUCAUCA
rnacentral:rRNA from 1 species